UGCAGGCUGGACAGGAUCUAAAAUUUAUUAGCUUAUCAAUGAGCGGAUGCUUUUCUUUGGGUGCUCUUCUACUGCUGCUUGUUAAAGGAUUUGGUCUGACAGGUUGUUGGGCUGCACUUGUGGGAUUUCAAUGGGCCCGGUUUUUCCUCGCUCUCCGGCGCCUUUCUCCAAAUGGCAUGCUGCACACCGAAGAUUUGACCCCCUAUGAACUGGGGAAGCUCAAAGCCGCUCAGUUUUUGGAAUCCAUAUCUUGAUACACGUUAAAAGGAAAAUUGAUGGAGUUGACAAGGAUGUUUGUCCAAUAUUCUUGCUUUCGGACUGCAGUCUAUUAUCCAGAUUGGCAGAUCAUUUUGAGCUAGUUGCUAAGUGACAGGUUAUAUUCAUUCUUCGAUGCCUCGAUGAGGCUAAUAGCUUA